GCGGACCGUAACAUUGAUAGCGAAGCCCCCUCUCGCCAAGCUUCACCUAGCGACGUCCUCCAACUCCGUCACCGAGCCUCACGAUCCUCAACCUCAUCUUCGGGGUCGUUGAGCUCGACUUGAGAGCAGGACCAGCAUCACGGCCAACUCCAUCCUUCCCUUUUCGAAGUUCCGAUGAGUCCCUCUGUCGAUUUCCCCGAGCUAAGUUCCACUCUCUCUUUCUCUAUCUCUCUCUCGGUCUCUGCUCUAUCUGCUGUCGUCUUUCUCUCUACUUUUCGCAGGUGACCGGAGUUCUGGUUACAACCCAGCCCCUCCUCCGAUAAGCUCAACUCGUCCCCUUAAUCGUGACCUCCUCUGUAGCAGUAGCUUCCCCUCACAACCCCGUCUGAGGCUUAUAAUGCUCAAUCCGGACAAUUAGAGGUCAAGCGAGUUUCUUUUAACCCGAAAUUCUGGUGUUUAUGCUUGGCUGAGUUACAUAAUGUUGUUUGAAGGAUUUGAGGUUGUUUUACUGGAUUUAGAUGUGUUAGAAGUCAGCUGGAUGUUGAGGCUGAGAUACAUGACAGCCGCUGGUGGGUUGGUUAUUCAAGGAUGAGGUUAUGAUAACUUCUAGCUGGGCUGAUCUAUUCGGAUUAGCCGAGAACUUUGGUUGUUAGCUCUGACAAUGAAAGGAUCCUGAUUCUUUCCAAGAUGAGGUCGAAGCACGAACCCGGACAUACAUAUGGGAAUGCUGGCAUUUCUACAUAGCUACUGAGGAUCAUUUUCUUAGUUCAUAUCCAUCACACUCAUAUGGUCGCAGUUCGGCUACACAAGCCCCUACAGCAACUCGUGGUCAUGGCAACAACCCCGGUAUACUGCGCUGCAUCCAUUCACUCCACAUUCGUGUCUUGGUACAUCCUCAUUCAAUGUUCAUCUUCGCGGGUCUCCAUACUUCAGAUCAUGGCAUACACUGAUGCUGACGAGGGUGGCUGCCUGUAUAGUGUCGCUCAAAAACAAGCAAUACGGUCUUUGUCGGUCAGAACCUCAUUUCUUGGUGUUCCCAGAAGCAGCUAACCGUCUCACGUAGUUCGACCGAGUUUGAAUAUCGGGGUCUUGCUUGUGCAAUUGCUGAGACCCUAUGGCUUCGUUAACUCAUUUAGGAAAUUUGAUGUCACUUUUCAAGUCCUAUCAUUGCCUAUCACAAUAACAUCAGUGCCACCUACCUUGCGGCGAACCCACAUUGCUGUUGAUUAUCAUUUCAUCAGGGAACAACUCACACGUCGAGAUUUACCAAUUCGAAUGUAUAUGUUUUCAUUUUUUGAUCUCAUUGUAGCAAUCUGUUAGUAAUUGUGCCCCCAACAGAUGAGGGAGGUAUUAGGGAUAUAUAUGUAAUACUCUCAUACGAGGACUAUAUUGUAAUUUUGUAAUCUUGGUCCACUAUAUAUACUGAUGGGGUCAGUAUGGCGACCCUCAUGGGGUCAGGCCUCACAGUCGUACACAUCUCAAGGGAGGCCCGGCAGCAUCUCCCUUCAUUCGAGAACUAGGAAUCCCAAUUCAGUCCUCUCAGGUGUUAUUUUAGUACCCGUCUAUUUUCCUUAUCA